rnacentral:rRNA from 2 species
UAACGGCGAGUGAAGCGGUAAAAGCUCAAAUUUGAAAUCUUCGGAAUUGUAAUUUGAUGGGCUGUUUAGUCUCUCCAAAAGUCCUUUGGAAAAAGGCGCCAUAGAGGGUGAUAGCCCCGUAGGAAUGACACUAAUAAACAGUUCCAAAGAGUCGGGUUGUUUGGGAAUGCAGCUCUAAGUGGGUGGUAAAUUCCAUCUAAGGCUAAAUAUUGGCGAGAGACCGAUAGCGAACAAGUACAGUGAUGGAAAGAUGAAAAGCACUUUGAAAAGAGAGUGAAAUAGUACGUGAAAUUGUUGAAAGGGAAGGGCUUGCAAGCGGAGGGAGAGUCG